UCUAGCGAAACUGCCACCGUAAGGUGAGAGGAAGGUGGGGAGUGACGGUCAAAUCAGCACGGCCCUUAUGUCCAGGGCUGCACACGUGUUACAAUGGCCGGCACAGAGGGCAGCUACCUGGUGACAGGAUGCUAAUCUCGAAAACCGGUCUCAGUUCGGAUCGAAGUCUGCAACUCGACUUCGUGAAGCUGGAUUCGCUAGUAAUCGCGCAUCAGCCAUGGCGCGGUGAAUACGUUCCCGGGCCUU
rnacentral:rRNA from 1 species